GAGCGGCGGACGGGUGAGUAACACGUGGGCAACCUGCCUGUAAGACUGGGAUAACUUCGGGAAACCGGAGCUAAUACCGGAUAGUAUUUCCUUUCUCCUGAUUGGAAAUGGAAAGACGGUUUCGGCUGUCACUUACAGAUGGGCCCGCGGUGCAUUAACUAGUUGGUGGGGUAAUGGCCCACCAAGGMGACGAUGCMUAGCCGACCUGARAGGGUGAUCGGCCACACUGGGACUGAGACACGGCCCARACUCCUACGGGAGGCAGCARUAGGGAAUCUUCCGCAAUGGACGAAAGUCUGACGGAGCAACGCCGCGUGAGCGAUGAAGGCCUUCGGGUCGUAAAGCUCUGUUGUUAGGGAAGAACAAGUACGAGAGUAACUGCUCGUACCUUGACGGUACCUAACCAGAAAGCCCCGGCUAACUACGUGCCAGCAGCCGCGGUAAUACGUAGGGGGCAAGCGUUGUCCGGAAUUAUUGGGCGUAAAGGGCUCGUAGGCGGUUUCUUAAGUCUGAUGUGAAAGCCCACAGCUCAACUGUGGAGGGUCAUUGGAAACUGGGGAACUUGAGUGCAGAAGAGGAGAGUGGAAUUCCACGUGUAGCGGUGAAAUGCGUAGAUAUGUGGAGGAACACCAGUGGCGAARGCGACUCUCUGGUCUGUAACUGAYGCUGAGGAGCGAAAGCGUGGGGGAGGAAACAAGAUUAGAAUACCCUGGUGGUCCACGCCGUAAACGAUGAAGUAGCUAYGUGGUUGAG
rnacentral:rRNA from 1 species